CGGUAAUACGUAGGGUGCAAGCGUUAUCCGGAAUUACUGGGCGUAAAGAGUGCGUAGGUGGUUUUCUAAGUCAGAUGUUAAAUAUAUGGGCUCAACUCAUAUGCUGCAUCUGAUACUGGGAAACUAGAGAUCGGAAGAGGUAGACGGAAUUCACGGUGGAGCGGUAAAAUGCGUAGAUAUCGUGAAGAACACCAAUGGCGAAGGCAGUCUACUGGGCCGAUUCUGACACUGAGGCACGAAAGCGUGGGGAGCGAUCGGGAUUAGAUACCCCGGUAGUCCACGCCGUAAACGAUGGAUGCUAGCUUUUGGAGGUGUCGACCCCUUGAGAAGCGAAGCUAACGCGUUAAGCAUCCCGCCUGGGGAGUACGAGCGCAAGCUUAAA
rnacentral:rRNA from 1 species